rnacentral:rRNA from 1 species
AACGAACGCUGGCGGCAUGCCUAACACAUGCAAGUCGAACGAGACCUUGGGGUCCUGUGGCGUAUGGGUGUGUAAGGGGAGGGAACAUGCCCAUAGGUUUGGAAUAACUCCCCGAAUGGGGUGCUAAUACCGGAUAAUGUCUUCGGACCAAAGAUUUAUCGACAUUGGAUGGGCCGGCGUUGGAUAAGGUUGUUGGUAGGGUAAAAGCCGACCAAGGCGACGAUCAAUAGCUGGUCUGAGAGGAUGAUCAGCCACACUGGGACUGAGACACGGCCCAGACUCCUACGGGAGGCAGCAGUGGGGAAUAUUGGACAGUGGGCGAAAGCCUGAUCCAGCAAUGCCGCGUGAGUGAUGAAGUCCUUAGGGUUGUAAAGCUCUUUUACCCGUGAUGAUAAUGACAGUACCGGGAGAAUAAGCUCCGGCUAACUCCGUG